ensembl:lncRNA
UGAAGACCAAGAGGAAAAAGAGGGCUCGAUGAUGUGGUCAUUGAGCAUCUGGUCCACAUAUUCCUCAAAAAAUCUUCCACUUAAAUGGGGAAACACAGUAAGCUCAAGAUUUAUUGGGCACUUCAUCUGAUAUAAUGAUUUUGUGUUUUUCCACAUCUGUCUUCCCCAGGACGUUGGAGAUAGUAUGUGGCCAAGCAGUCAUCAGUUUCAGCAGCUCCUCUUGAUUGCCUGAGUCCCAGACUGGAGUGUCUUGUUGUUGAGCGGGAGUGAGUGGUGAGUGUUUCCUGCAUUAGUGUAAAGGUAUUCCUGUGUCAACCACCAUCUUCAUCUCUCAUCACCACCGGGAUCAAUAGGAUAAUGCAUAUAAGCCAGCCAGAUGUUUAGAGGCAGCCCACCACCCUGGGGUUGAUGUUAUUGGGAAUGUGGCUCACCAUCCUCUGAAACAUCAGGUUUCCACUUCAAGCAGAGGACCCAAUAGUCAUAAGCAAAAUCUCUCAGGCGUUGUUUUGGCUGCUGCACCAACAACCUCAAUUUGUCC